rnacentral:rRNA from 1 species
UACCAGACUCCUACGGGAGGCAGCAGUGGGGAAUAUUGCACAAUGGGGGGAACCCUGAUGCAGCAAUGCCGCGUGAAGGAUGAAGGUUUUCGGAUUGUAAACUUCUUUUGCACGGGACGAAGAAAGUGACGGUACCGUAAGAAUAAGCCACGGCUAACUACGUGCCAGCAGCCGCGGUAAUACGUAGGUGGCAAGCGUUAUCCGGAUUUACUGGGUGUAAAGGGCGAGUAGGCGGGAUUGCAAGUCAGAUGUGAAAACUAUGGGCUCAACCGAUAGCCUGCAUUUGAAACUGUACUUCUUGAGUGCUGGAGAGGCAAUCGGAAUUCCGUGUGUAGCGGUGAAAUGCGUAGAUAUACGGAGGAACACCAGUGGCGAAGGCGGAUUGCUGGACAGUAACUGACGCUGAGGCGCGAAAGCGUGGGGAGCAAACAGGAUUAGAUACCCUAGUA